rnacentral:rRNA from 1 species
GCCUACGGCCACACCGGACUGAACACGCCCGAUCCCGUCUGAACUCAGAAGCUAAACAGUCCUGGGCCCGGCUAGUACCUGGAUGGGAGACCACCUGGGAAUUCCAGGUGCUGUAGACU